GUUGUCUUUCCUAUAAGAGAAAUACUAUGUUAAAAGUAAAUGGAGGAAAAAGUAAAUCUUUUUAUAUGUUAACAAUCUGACUAAAAGAAAUGCAAAUAUAUCUUUAUUUUACUGAAAGUAUAAGGCUUUCUCUAAAAUUUAAGUUCAUCAGUAAAAGGGAUUUUCUGAAACCUUUAUAUUCCGGAUAUUGGAGACAGAAAAAAGGGGGGGGGGGUGGGGUAGAAAAAUUACUAUUAAUAAUUGAGUUCACCAAUAAUUCUUGUACACAAGCCUUAGUUUCUUUCCACGGAGAGUUGUUGCUUUCUAUAUAAUUAUAUAUGUGCAUGUCUGUGAAACAGAAUUUUCUUAAGAGUUUGAAUUCCUUUUCCUGCCUAGGUCUGUUUGACAGGCCGCUACAAUGAGAUAACUUAUAAUGGACUCGUCGCCAUUGUCAAGUGGGCUUCUCCCGUUUUCUUUUUUGUUUCUUUUUUGCUUUGUUUAUAGAACAAAUACAUGUAUGUCAUACCGUAUAAAUCAACUAGAUAAAAUUUGGAAAGUGGUGGUAUUACUACUAUAUUUCUUCUUCUGUUAUUUGGUGAAUAUUAAAAAAAAGUUUGGAAACUU
rnacentral:sRNA from 1 species